rnacentral:rRNA from 1 species
AACGAACGUUGGCGGCGUGGAUUAGGCAUGCAAGUCGAACAAAUCCCAACUUUGUAGCAAUACCGAGUUGGGGGAAGUGGCGAAAGGGGCAGUAAUGCGUGGGUAAUCUACCUCGGGGACGUGGAUAGCCAUUCUAACGAGUGGGUAAUACGCGGCGAUUUGGUUGAGGGGCAUCCCUUGGCCAGGAACUGAAUUUCGCCUCGAGAGGAACUCACGUGAUAUUAGCUUGUUGGCGGGGUAACGGCCCACCAAGGCAAAGAUGUCUAGCGGGUGUGAGAGCACGACCCGCGCCACUGGCACUGAGACACUGGCCAGACACCUACGGGUGGCUGCAGUCGAGGAUCUUCGGCAAUGGGCGCAAGCCUGACCGAGCGACGCCGCGUGCGCGAUGAAGGCCUUCGGGUUGUAAAGCGCUGUCGAGGGGGAGGAAGCCGAAAGGUUGACCUAUCCCUGGAGGAAGGACGGGCUAAGUUCGUGCCAGCCGCCGCUGUAACAC